AACGAACGCUGGCGGCAUGCCUAACACAUGCAAGUCGAACGAGACCUUCGGGUAUAGUGGCGCACGGGUGCGUAACGCGUGGGAACCUGCCCUUAGGUUCGGAAUAACUCCCCGAAAGGGGUGCUAAUACCGGAUAAUGUCUUCGGACCAAAGAUUUAUCGCCUUUGGUUGGGCCCGCGUUGGAUUAGCUAGUUGGUAGGGUAAAAGCCUACCAAGGCGACGAUCCAUAGCUGGUCUGAGAGGAUGAUCAGCCACACUGGGACUGAGACACGGCCCAGACUCCUACGAGAGGCAGCAGUGGGGAAUAGUGGACAAUGGGCGAAAGCCUGAUCCAGCAAUGCCGCGUGAGUGAUGAAGGCCUUAGGGUUGGAAAGCUCUUUUACCCGGGAUGAUAAUGACAGUAACGGGAGAAUAAGUUCCGGCUAGCUCAGUG
rnacentral:rRNA from 1 species